AUUAUGUUUAGUUUGAGGUGUGAUUCGUCGUUUCGAUAUUGUUAUGUAUGAUUUGAGGCUUGGAAUAAGUCUGUAUUAUAUUAUAGUACUUGUUGGUAUAUUUGGAUGUAGUCCGGAGAGGCUUUGGAUAAAAUACGCCAAGUGUAUCAAUCUUCUCUAUCAACGAUUUUUCUCUCUUUCUAUCUUUCAGUACCAAUCCGAAAUUCUUUCUCCCUCAACAAUCGCGAUUUCUCUCCAUGUUUUCAAGCACAAUUUUGUUCCUAAAUCAUGCUCUCUCACAUAUAGCCAUUGUUAGGGUUUUGCAGAGAAAUAGAAUUUUUGAUGUUAAUGGCUGACUUAAGCGCUCCGAAGAGGGUAACUCGAGGCUCUCUUUCUGCCAUGGCAGCCGAGAAGCGAAGCAAACAAAGCAAUGACCCCAUGCAACCAUUGAAACAAGAUGAAGGUACAAAAUCUACUAAAAUAGCAUAGGUUGUUGAAGUUUCAAAAGUUUUCGUGCACACCACAAGUAUAGAAAAGAGGAGAAAAAUCAGUGAUGUCGCUUCGGGGAGUAAAGGAAAAACUUUAGCUAAAGGCGAGCAUUCAAAAUCAGUGAAGGAGAAGGUUAUGUAUCUGUUUUUUAACUUAUAAAUAUAUGUAUUUUGUGUAUUUUGAAAAUUUUGACAUUGUAAUUCUAUUUGAA